AGAGCGAACGCUGGCGGCAGGCUUAACACAUGCAAGUCGAGCGGAUGUAGCAAUACAUCAGCGGCAGACGGGAUAGUAACACGUGGGAACGCGCCCUUUGGUUCGGAAUAACUCAGGGAAACUUGAGCUAAUACCGGAUAAGCCCUUACGGGGAAAGAUUUAUCGCCAAAGGAACGGCCCGCGUCCGAUUAGCUAGUUGGUGAGGUAAUGGCUCACCAAGGCGACGAUCGGUAGCUGGUCUGAGAGGAUGACCAGCAUCACUGGGACUGAGACACGGCCCAGACUCCUACGGGAGGCAGCAGUGGGGAAUAUUGGACAAUGGGCGCAAGCCUGAUCCAGCCAUGCCGCGUGGAUGAUGAAGGCCCUAGGGUUGUAAAGUCGUUUUAACGGGAGAUAAUGACGGUACCGUAGAAUAAGCCCGGCUAACUUCGCGCCAGCAGCCGC
rnacentral:rRNA from 1 species